rnacentral:lncRNA from 1 species
AUGGGUUGUAGCCUGCAAGAUUUAGCUAGCAGCUAUUUCCAUCUGCAGUCUUCAGGCAGGGGAAUAACCAAGGCUGGUCCUACAGGGCUGGUCCUACAGGACUGGUCCUACAGGACUGUUCCUACAGGACUGUUCCCACACGGCUGGUCCCACAGGACUGUUCCCACAGGGCUGGUCCCACAGGACUGGUCCUACAGGACUGUUCCUUCAGGACUGUUCCCACACGGCUGGUCCCACAGGACUGUUCCCACAGGGCUGGUCCCACAGGACUGUUCCCACAGGACUGUUCCCACAGGGCUGGUCCCACAGGGCUGUUCCCACAGGGCUGUUCCCACAGGGCUGGUCCCACAGGGCUGGUCCCACAGGGCUGGUCCCACAGGGCUGUUCCCACAGGGCUGGUCCCACAGGACUGUUCCCACAGGGCUGGUCCCACAGGGCUGGUCCCACAGGGCUGGUCCUACAGGGCUGGUCCUACAGGGCUGGUCCUACAGGGCUGGUUCUACAGGGCUGGUCCUACAGGGCUGGUUCUACAGGGCUGGUCCUACAGGGCUGGUCCUACAGGGCUGGUCCUACAGGGCUGGUUCUACAGGGCUGGUCCUACAGGGCUGGUUCUACAGGGCUGGUCCUACAGGGCUGGUCCUACAGGGCUGGUUCUACAGGGCUGGUCCUACAGGGCUGUUCCUACAGGGCUGGUCCUACAGGGCUGGUUCUACAGGGCUGGUCCUACAGGGCUGGUCCUACAGGGCUGGUUCUACAGGGCUGGUUCUACAGGGCUGGUCCUACAGGGCUGGUUCUACAGGGCUGGUCCUACAGGGCUGGUCCUACAGGGCUGGUUCUACAGGGCUGGUCCUACAGGGCUGGUCCUACAGGGCUGGUUCUACAGGGCUGGUCCUACAGGGCUGGUCCUACAGGGCUGGUCCUACAGGGCUGGUUCUACAGGGCUGGUCCUACAGGGCUGGUUCUACAGGGCUGGUCCUACAGGGCUGGUCCUACAGAGCUGGACCUACAUUCAAAUCAAAUUGUAUUUGUCACAUGCACAGAAACAGGUGUAGCUAG